GACGAACGCUGGCGGCGUGCUUAACACAUGCAAGUCGAACGGAAAGGCCCUGCUUUUGUGGGGUGCUCGAGUGGCGAACGGGUGAGUAACACGUGAGUAACCUGCCCUUGACUUUGGGAUAACUUCAGGAAACUGGGGCUAAUACCGGAUAGGAGCUCCUGCUGCAUGGUGGGGGUUGGAAAGUUUCGGCGGUUGGGGAUGGACUCGCGGCUUAUCAGCUUGUUGGUGGGGUAGUGGCUUACCAAGGCUUUGACGGGUAGCCGGCCUGAGAGGGUGACCGGCCACAUUGGGACUGAGAUACGGCCCAGACUCCUACGGGAGGCAGCAGUGGGGAAUAUUGCACAAUGGGCGGAAGCCUGAUGCAGCAACGCCGCGGGCGGGAUGACGGCCUUCGGGUUGUAAACCGCUUUCGCCUGGGACGAAGCGUGAGUGACGGUAAUGGGUAAAGAAGCACCGGCUAACUACGUG
rnacentral:rRNA from 1 species